AUUGAACGCUGGCGGCAUGCUUUACACAUGCAAGUCGAACGGCAGCGCGGGCUUCGGCCUGGCGGCGAGUGGCGAACGGGUGAGUAAUGCAUCGGAACGUGCCCAGUAGUGGGGGAUAGCCCGGCGAAAGCCGGAUUAAUACCGCAUACGACCUGAGGGUGAAAGCGGGGGACAGAAAGGCCUCGCGCUAUUGGAGCGGCCGAUGUCGGAUUAGCUAGUUGGUGGGGUAAAGGCUUACCAAGGCGACGAUCCGUAGCUGGUCUGAGAGGACGACCAGCCACACUGGGACUGAGACACGGCCCAGACUCCUACGGGAGGCAGCAGUGGGGAAUUUUGGACAAUGGAGGCAACCCUGAUCCAGCCAUGCCGCGUGCGGGAAGAAGGCCUUCGGGUUGUAAACCGCUUUUGUUCGGGAAGAAAUCCUCUGGGCUAAUACCCCGGGGGGAUGACGGUACCGGAAGAAUAAGCACCGGCUAACUACGUG
rnacentral:rRNA from 1 species